UGGGGAAUAUUGGACAAUGGGCGAAAGCCUGAUCCAGCAACGCCGCGUGAGGGAUGACGGCCUUCGGGUUGUAAACCUCUUUCAGUAGGGACGAAGCGAAAGUGACGGUACCUACAGAAGAAGGACCGGCCAACUACGUGCCAGCAGCCGCGGUAAUACGUAGGGUCCGAGCGUUGUCCGGAAUUAUUGGGCGUAAAGGGCUCGUAGGCGGUUUGUCGCGUCGGGAGUGAAAACUCAGGGCUCAACCCUG
rnacentral:rRNA from 1 species